rnacentral:rRNA from 1 species
GACGAACGCUGGCGGCGUGCUUAACACAUGCAAGUCGUACGGUAAGGCCCUUUCGGGGGUACACGAGUGGCGAACGGGUGAGUAACACGUGAGUAACCUGCCCACAACUUUGGGAUAACGCUAGGAAACUGGUGCUAAUACUGGAUAUGUGCUCCUGCUGCAUGGUGGGGGUUGGAAAGCUCCGGCGGUUGUGGAUGGACUCGCGGCCUAUCAGCUUGUUGGUGGGGUAGUGGCCUACCAAGGCGGCGACGGGUAGCCGGCCUGAGAGGGUGACCGGCCACAUUGGGACUGAGAUACGGCCCAGACUCCUACGGGAGGCAGCAGUGGGGAAUAGUGCACAAUGGGCGCAAGCCUGAGGCAGCAACGCCGCGUGCGGGAGGACGGCCUUCGGGUUGUAAACCGCUUUCAGCAGGGACGAAGCUUUUUGUGACGGUACCUGCAGAAGAAGCACCGGCUAACUACGUG